rnacentral:rRNA from 1 species
CCUACGGGAGGCAGCAGUGAGGAAUAUUGGUCAAUGGGCGCGAGCCUGAACCAGCCAAGUAGCGUGAAGGAUGACUGCCCUACGGGUUGUAAACUUCUUUUAUAAAGGAAUAAAGUGAGGCACGUGUGCCUUUUUGUAUGUACCUUAUGAAUAAGGAUCGGCUAACUCCGUGCAAGCAGCCGCGGUAAUACGGAGGAUCCGAGCGUUAUCCGGAUUUAUUGGGUGUAAAGGGAGCGUAGAUGGGUUGUUAAGUCAGUGGUGAAAGUUUGCGGCUCAACCGUAACAUGGCAAUUGAUACUGGCAGCCUUGAGUAGAGGAGAGGUAGGCGGAAUGCGUGGUGUAGCGGUGAAAUGCAUAGAUAUCACGCAGAACUCCGAUUGCGAAGGCAGCAUGCU